rnacentral:rRNA from 1 species
AGUCGAGGGGUAUAAGGAGCUUGCUCCUUAGAGACCGGCGCACGGGUGCGUAACGCGUAUGCAAUCUACCUUUUACAGGGGAAUAGCCCAGAGAAAUUUGGAUUAAUGCCCCAUAGUAUAUUUGAAUGGCAUCAUUUGAUUAUUAAAGUCACAACGGUAAAAGAUGAGCAUGCGUCCCAUUAGUUAGUUGGUAAGGUAACGGCUUACCAAGACGAUGAUGGGUAGGGGUCCUGAGAGGGAGAUCCCCCACACUGGUACUGAGACACGGACCAGACUCCUACGGGAGGCAGCAGUGAGGAAUAUUGGUCAAUGGGCGCAAGCCUGAACCAGCCAUGCCGCGUGCAGGAUGACGGUCCUAUGGAUUGUAAACUGCUUUUAUACAGGAAGAAACACUCCCUCGUGAGGGAGCUUGACGGUACUGUAGGAAUAAGGAUCGGCUAACUCCGUGCCAGCAGCCGCGGUAAUACGGAGGAUCCAAGCGUUAUCCGGAAUCAUUGGGUUUAAAGGGUCCGUAGGCGGCCCAGUAAGUCAGUGGUGAAAUCUCCCGGCUCAACCGGGAAAUUGCCAUUGAUACUGCUGGGCUUGAAUUAUCAGGAAGUAACUAGAAUAUGUAGUGUAGCGGUGAAAUGCUUAGAGAUUACAUG